CAUGUCCUUUUGAUUAUAAUUUAAGGUCUAAUCUGCUCAAUGAUAAUUAAAUUGCCGCAGUAUAUUGACUGUGCAAAGGUAGCAUAAUAAUUAGUUUAUUAAUUAUAAACUGGAAUGAAUGAUUGGACAAGAAAAUUUCUGUCUCUUUAUUAAUAUUUUUUGAAUUUUAUUUUUAAGUGAAAAAGCUUAAAUUUAUGUAAAAGACGAGAAGACCCUAUAGAGUUUAAUAUAUUUAUUUAUUUAAUAUUAGAAUGUAAGUAAAAAUUAUAUAUUUAGUUGGGGUGACUUAAAAAUUUAUAAAAUUUUUUAAUUUUUUAAUUGGUGAUUUCUAAAUAAAAUAUCUAUAGUUUAUAAUUAUAAAAUAAAUUACCUUAGGGAUAACAGCGUAAUUAUUUUUAAAAGAUCUUAUUUAAAAAAUAGUUUGCGACCUCGAUGUUGGAUUAAAAUUAAUAUUUGGUGAAGUAGCUUAAGUAUUGGGUCUGUUCGACCUUUAAAAUUUUACAUGAUCUGAGUUUAGACCGGUGUAAACCAGGUCGGAUUCUAUCUUUAAAAAAAUUAUAUAUUUUAGUACGAAAGGACCAAAUAUAUAUUAAAUUAAUUG
rnacentral:rRNA from 1 species